GUUCUCCUUACAACAUAACUUAAUGUACAAGAACCUGUUUACUCAACAACUUCUAAGCAACAUUUAUCCAUCUAUGUUUGUAGUUUCUGUUUUAUGUACAUAUAUAGUUUAAUCUCUCCUACAGUUAGACGUGGAAGACUGAAUUUUAAUGGAACUCUUCAGGUUUGCUUGUUGACGUUGCGGCAUGAAAGAUGUUGAUUUGUCGUAGAUUUUUGGCAGGUCCAUGUAGUGAUGAUCCAGAUUUGCAUUCGGGAAAUCAUUCUGAGAAAAAUGAAGAGGCAGCUUCCCAUAUGGUGCUGAGAAGUUAGGGAAGAAGGUGUUGUGAUACAUGCCUUUGUCAUAUCACUAUAUGCAUUUUUUCCCAGUUGUGCGAUUCCUGAUUUGGUCAUAAUUGUAUUAUCAAAAUGUGUGGAACUCCAAUUAGCUGCUCUUUCAUUGGAGUAGGUUGCAUCAGAAAGGCGUUAGCUGCAUCCUCAGGAUGGCGUGCUCUUCUGUUUUGUCUAUUUGUCAUCGUCAUGU